rnacentral:rRNA from 1 species
GAUGAACGCUAGCUACAGGCUUAACACAUGCAAGUCGAGGGGCAUCGGAAGAAAGCUUGCUUUCUUUGCCGGCGACCGGCGCACGGGUGAGUAACACGUAUCCAACCUGCCCUUUACUUCGGGGAGUAGCCUUUACGAAAGAAAGAUUAAAUACCCGAUGGCCAUAAUGAUUCCGCAUGGUUUCAUUUAGUUUAAAAGGAUUCCGGUAAAGGAUGGGGGAUGCGUUCCAUUAGGUUGUUGGU